rnacentral:rRNA from 1 species
UACGUAGGGGGCUAUCGUUGUCCGGAAUCAUUGGGCGUAAAGCGCGUGUAGGCGGUCCGGUAAGUCCGCUGUGAAAGUCGGGGGCUCAACCCUCGGAUGCCGGUGGAUACUGUCGGGCUUGAGUACGGAAGAGGCGAGUGGAAUUCCUGGUGUAGCGGUGAAAUGCGCAGAUAUCAGGAGGAACACCAAUUGCGAAGGCAGCUCGCUGGGACGUUACUGACGCUGAGACGCGAAAGCGUGGGGAGCAAACAGG